CCUACGGGUGGCAGCAGUGAGGAAUAUUGGUCAAUGGACGAGAGUCUGAACCAGCCAAGUAGCGUGAAGGAUGACUGCCCUAUGGGUUGUAAACUUCUUUUAUAUGGGAAUAAAAUGUUCCACGUGUGGGAUUUUGUAUGUACCAUAUGAAUAAGGAUCGGCUAACUCCGUGCCAGCAGCCGCGGUAAUACGGAGGAUCCGAGCGUUAUCCGGAUUUAUUGGGUUUUAAGGGAGCGUAGGUGGAUUGUUAAGUCAGAUGUGAAAGUUUGCGGCUCAACCGUAAAAUUGCAGUUGAAACUGGCAGUCUUGAGUACAGUAGAGGUGGGCGGAAUUCGUGGUGUAGCGGUGAAAUGCUUAGAUAUCACGAAGAACUCCGAUUGCGAAGGCAGUUCACUGGACUGCAACUGACACUGAGGCUCGAAAGUGUGGGUAUCAAACAGGAUUAGAUACCCCUGUAGUC
rnacentral:rRNA from 1 species